CCUACGGGCGGCUGCAGUGGGGAAUAUUGCACAAUGGGCGCAAGCCUGAUGCAGCCAUGCCGCGUGUGUGAAGAAGGCCUUCGGGUUGUAAAGCACUUUCAGCGGGGAGGAAGGCGUUAAGGUUAAUAACCUUGGCGAUUGACGUUACCCGCAGAAGAAGCACCGGCUAACUCCGUGCCAGCAGCCGCGGUAAUACGGAGGGUGCAAGCGUUAAUCGGAAUUACUGGGCGUAAAGCGCACGCAGGCGGUCUGUCAAGUCGGAUGUGAAAUCCCCGGGCUCAACCUGGGAACUGCAUUCGAAAAUGGCAGGCUAGAGUCUUGUAGAGGGGGGUAGAAUUCCAGGUGUAGCGGUGAAAUGCGUAGAGAUCUGGAGGAAUACCGGUGGCGAAGGCGGCCCCCUGGACAAAGACUGACGCUCAGGUGCGAAAGCGUGGGGAGCAAACAGGAUUAGAUACCCCUGUAGUC
rnacentral:rRNA from 1 species